AUACGUAGGGGGCGAGCGUUAUCCGGAUUUAUUGGGCGUAAAGCGUGUGUAGGCGGUUUGUUAAGUUUAAGAUUAAAGCCCGAGGCUUAACCUCGGUUCGUCUUAAAAACUGGCAGACUUGAGUGCAGUAGAGGCAAGUGGAAUUUCUAGUGUAGCGGUUAAAUGCGUAGAUAUUAGAAGGAACACCAGUGGCGAAGGCGGCUUGCUGGGCUGUUACUGACGCUGAGACACGAAAGCGUGGGGAGCAAAUAGGAUUAGAUACCCUAGUAGUCCACGCCGUAAACGAUGAGUACUAAGUGUCGGGUAACCGGUGCUGAAGUUAACACAUUAAGUACUCCGCCUGAGUAGUACGGUCGCAAGGCUGAAACUCAAAGGAAUUGGCGGGG
rnacentral:rRNA from 1 species